rnacentral:misc_RNA from 1 species
UUGUUGUGGAUUUAGGUUUUUCAUUUUUUUAUCCAUAAGAAAACAGGAACCACGUUCCGUGCAAUCACUUGAUUUCUUUUACUAAACAAGAAACCCAAAAACAUAGCUUUGUCUUUUUGUUUCUCAUGUAUCCAUCCAACACCCAUAUUAAAACCUUCUCCUUUGCCCUCUGUUAUCAUCACCCACCAUCUCUCUCCACCUAUUGUUGG